rnacentral:misc_RNA from 1 species
AGCUUUCUCCCCCCUCUGCUUCUCACCUUUUUAGUCCCGUGUGCAUGCGUGCUCUGCGUUCCGGAAGCACGCCAGGUUGGAGGUGCUGAUCGUCAGCUCUGCAUCAACAGUAUCUGCGCCCCCUCUCCAUCUCCUGGGCACCUGGUGAACGCGCACACUCAUUGAGAGGGCCGGUGGCUAUGCUGCUGCUGCCGCUCCCCCCCCCCCGUCACAUACACGCACGCAGUCGACUCAUUCCGGGCGCACGAGGCACCGUCUCUUUCGCCGUCACCUUUUUUACUUCAUAGACUAGAAGCACACACCUCCCCACCUCGCCAACACCGUCGGCGGCAUUCGCUGUGCCAUGGCCCACAGUGCCGCGGCUACGCGAUCCGCACGACCACCAGGCACGGACUGGCAAGACUCCUACUUCACGCUAGAGGAGCGCUAUCGGCGGCUGCAGAAGCGGUUCAAUACCCAGGAACAGGAGCUGAAGUUGAUCAAGGUUGCGCAAAGAAAGAAGAAAGCCCUGUCUGCCGGCCCGUCCUUGUCUUCAGUUUCCGCGCGGCGCCCGCUACAGCCUGCACUUCGCCCUGAGCCCCGCUAUACGGAGGAGUCGCAGGGCAAUGUGGAGGUCUCCGGAUCGAGCUCUCCGCGGCGCUUUCCAAACCCGCAGAAUGGCGACAGCGGUGGUGCACCUGCUCACACCUCGCUGGGAAUUUCGGCCUUGCCAAAUCAAUGGGUGGACUACCACAUCAGCCGCGCAGACUCCAUCACCGACUCUCAGCAGCCGUCGCCGCCACCGCCACAGGCUGCUUCGUACGCCCAGCCUUCAUCGUCUCCAAAUCAGCCGCCUGCACAGCAGCAGCCACAGCCGCAUGGAGUGGAGGAGUACAUCGCGGUGCCCUCUGCGGCUGCUCCUCAGGCGACUCGGGCGGCCGCCAUCGCCGAGGCAAGCGCGUGGGGCGAGGCAGGCGCAUUGCCCGAUCCGGCCAUGGUGUGGGGCACCGACGGCCGCAGCAGCAUGCAAAAUUACGUGGUGGCUAGCGCUCUCUACCACGCCAACGAGGAGCUCCGCCGAAAGCUUAACGAGUCGGUGAUGACGCUUCAAACCCUUCAGCAAGAGCUGGGGAGCAGUCGUGCGCAGCACGCGGCGCUGCAGACGCGGCUGGAGAACGUGUCUGCGCAGCUUCACCAGGUAGUGCGUGAGCGCGACCUGUCGGCGCAGAAGUACACCAACGCGAGCCACACAAUAGCGGACCUCGAGCGCACCCUGCGUGAUCGCGUCAGUGAGGAGGAAAAGAUUCGGUUUUCAUUGGAGAGCCAAAUAACGGAGCUGCGCAGCCGCCUCGUAGUGGGGGCGGACAGCAACGAGUUGUUGCAAAAGGACGUGCGUAGCUUGCUGUCCGAGACGCGGGACCGAACGGCGGAGGUGAUGAAGCUGCGCUCGAACCUGGCGCUGGCCGAGUCCGCUCUGUCGUCUCAGAGGCAUGUGAACGAGAACAUGCUGGUGGAGCUGAAAAGUCUGAGCACCCAGCUUGUAGAGGAGCGCAAGCGACUCAUCACGGUGACACGCGAAGCACAUCUUGCCUCUCUCAGCGGGACGCGUGUGGAGGAUCUAGAGCAGCAGCUGCAGCGUGUGCAGGAGGAACGCAAUGCUAUUGAGCGGGAGCACAUCGAACUCAUGUCGGAUUUUGUGCACAUCACUGAGGACGCCCUGCGCCACGCUCGAGAAGAGGUGGGGAGGGACGUAGCGGACUGGAAGGCGGCCGCCACCCACUGGGAGCAGGUGUCCCAGCUGCUUUACAAGGACAUCGCUGAGCGCACUCAGCAGCACCUGCAGUGUCGUGCCGAAUGUGAGGAAGCUCAGGGUCAGCGCGACGCAGCGGAGCUGCAGCUGCGUUCACUGAAGGGGGAGGUGGCCCUGCUCACCGCAAAGCUCGACGUGGUGUGGCCCAGCCACGCGACGGACGCUAAGACCUUGACGGCGGAGGAGAUACUCAACGUCUUCGGUCGAAAAGAUCGUGCAGGCAUUUUCUUGUUCGACGAGCGCUGCCGCCGCCGAGCUGCAGCGCUUCGCCGCAGCGGAGCCAACGAUGGCGAGCCGACUGGCGCGUCUGCCACAGGGGAGACCGCCGCCGCCGCUGAAGAGAAUGAUGGCGGCGGCGAGGAAGAUGCUGGCUUCGACCUGGCGGCAGCAGUGCUCGGCGAUCUCCCAGCUGACCCGACGACCGUCGCCUGCCAAUUGCAGGAGCUUCACGAGGCGAACGCAGCGCUAAUCUCUGAGGUGCACCAGCUGCGGCUCACAAACGACCUGCUGCAGGAGCGACUGAAUAGGCUUACGGGGAGACAGAAGGAAGAGCAGGCCCGCGUGGCUGCGGCAGAGGUGUCACUGCAGCAGCGGGAGAGGGCGGGGCACCAGCUGCUAGAGAAACAGCUGGAUCGCGUGGCCUUCCUUGAGGCGCAGGUGAGGUCAUUACGCGGUUAUCAUGUCCCCGCAAACGCCCCAAUCGGCGAGGUAGGCGAGAACGAGAACAUCUUUGAGCUGUACCUUGGCCAGCUCGUCGCUGCCGAGGUGCCGGAGGGGAUCGAGGUGCCGGAGAUGUUCUCCACCGUGUUCUGCUCUGCUGACUUUCUGGUGCAUGAGACGGUCACCACCGGCACUGUGCGCGGCUUCAACGGCUUCUUCGAGGUGACCGCAUCGUUCUGUGUGUCGAUGGACGCGCUGCUAUUCUACUAUUUGCACACACGCCAACUACUGAUUCAGCUGCACCGCGUUCGUAAUGCAGAAGAGGCAGCCGCCAUGACGCUAGCCGCAGCAGCCGGAGCGGGUGACGAGGAGACUCACCUCUCAGUGACGGACGCAGUUGACACCGGGACUACGCACAGCGCACACGGCGGCAGCUCCAGCGGCAGCACGCACCCAAGCCUUCGCAUGGCCGAGCAUAUGUUCGAGACAAUCGCGGAGGGCCAGGUGAGCCUGGCGGACAUUGUGCUGCGGGAGGACUGCCGCCACUCCACCCGCCCAACGUUGAAGGGCCACGUGCACCUGGUCACACCUGCAGGCCGGCACCUCGCCUCAGUGGAGUUCCGCCUGACGGCGCGGCGUCCCUACUCCGCCGACUUUGUGCGACUCGUGGAAAAAUCGGUGGCAACCGCCAUUACCGAGGGUGCCGCUGCCGCCGCCGGCAAGGAAGCAGGCGACGAGCAUGAUGCGUCGUCGCACCUGCUCGAUUGGAUGCGGGCCACCGCUAGCACUUCACUGGGCGCGGCUGAGCAUCGGCGGCAAGAGUCUGGGCAGGGCACGACGCCGACCCCGCGCCACACGCGUAGCGCCGCGAAGAUCACCCCCACCGACCCCCACCUCCAAACCCGCCACAAUCAACUGCAGCUGGUGCCGGUUGCCUCUGCUGACGGGGACACUUCAUCGACCGCUUCGUCCUUCCUCAUUCAACAGCAGUCGCGCAUGGCGGGCACCGCUGGGGCGCUGGUGGUGCACCUUCCCCCGCCUUCGCCGCCGCCACGUCAACGUUGGCCAAGCGCGUCCUCGUGGGGUAGAAGGGAAGGAAGCGACUUGCAGGCGGCUCGUCACAGAGGUGGCGGCUCGCCGUUCAGCAGUCGAGCCGACCACGACUCCGUUAUGGAGCGCAGCCCUGUCUCCGCCUCUUUCAUGCACGUUGAUCGCUCACUUCUGUCGGCGCAGCCGGUGUUUGGCGGGAGCGGCGGCGAAGGAUCGAGGGUGAUGGGGUCAGCCAUUCAGUGUCUCUGGGUAGAUGUGGAGCGGCUGGAGCUGCCGGCCGACCUGCCACCGCCCAUCCCGCGGCUGUCCUGCUACUUUCGUGUCGAAGCAGCCGACGCCGAGGUGUGGCUCGACGCGCCGCCCACGCCACGCUACACGUGGGAGUACACGCUUGACGUUCGAGACGGCAGAGCCGGAGCCUACGGUGCAUCGCUGCCGGUGCGUUCCGUCACGCAGCUCGCCUCUAUCCUGCGCGAGCCGCUUGUCGUUUUCCUGCUCGACGCCGACGCCAUGGCGUCCAAGAGCGCUGCUGCCGUCACCGAUCCGUGCGUAUGGGCCAUGGCUGUGUGCGAGUGGGCACAGGUGGUGCAGCACCCCAAUGAGCCGCAGUCCUUCGCCUUACCGCUUCUGCGGCGCGAUCAGUCCGUUGUACACGGGGCGGUGCUGCGGUUAUCCCUGACCGCCUCCACCAUCGGCGUGCGUUCGAGCCCGCCACACGCAGAGCCAUCGCCUUCGCAGCUGCAGAACACGGGGUUGAAUACCAGCAGCUCGCCUUUCAUACCACCACCGCCGAUGUCGUCUCCGCCGCCGCCGCCACCGCCACCGCCGCCACCGCUACCAGAGGAGCUGUCGCCGCCGAGGGACCUCUCUAUGGAGGAGGAGUUGCUGAGGCUCGAAUACAAGCAACACACCGGGCGCAGCUUCGUGUAAGAGGGGGUGCGCGCACCAACUCUCCGUCUUUGCGCUCCCCCACCACUUCGCUGUGUCUGAGCUUGCCCCCUUCUCACCGCUUCUUCAUCUACCCAUGCCCAUACUCUUCCACUUUACUAAAAUCGCGAACAAGGUGCAACAACCGGCGAGCACGACGAG